rnacentral:rRNA from 1 species
GACGAACGCUGGCGGCGUGCUUAACACAUGCAAGUCGAACGGAAAGGCCCUGCUUUUGUGGGGUGCUCGAGUGGCGAACGGGUGAGUAACACGUGAGUAACCUGCCCUUGACUUUGGGAUAACUUCAGGAAACUGGGGCUAAUACCGGGUAGGAGCUCCUGCUGCAUGGUGGGGGUUGGAAAGUUUCGGCGGUUGGGGAUGGACUCGCGGCUUAUCAGCUUGUUGGUGGGGUCGUGGCUUACCAAGGCUUUGACGGGUAGCCGGCCUGAGAGGGUGACCGGCCACAUUGGGACUGAGAUACGGCCCAGACUCCUACGGGAGGCAGCAGUGGGGAAUAUUGCACAAUGGGCGGAAGCCUGAUGCAGCAACGCCGCGUGCGGGAUGACGGCCUUCGGGCUGUAAACCGCUUUCGCCUGUGACGAAGCGUGAGUGACGGUAAUGGGUAAAGAAGCACCGGCUAACUACGUG